rnacentral:rRNA from 1 species
UACGUAGGGGGCGAGCGUUAUCCGGAUUUAUUGGGCGUAAAGCGUGUGUAGGCGGUUUGUUAAGUCUGAAAUAAAAGCCCGAGGCUCAACUUCGGUUCGUUUCAGAAACUGGCAGACUUGAGUGUGGUAGAGGCAAGUGGAAUUUCUAGUGUAGCGGUAAAAUGCGUAGAUAUUAGAAGGAACACCAGUGGCGAAGGCGACUUGCUGGGCCAUUACUGACGCUGAGACACGAAAGCGUGGGGAGCAAAUAGG